rnacentral:rRNA from 1 species
UACGUAGGGGGGCAAGCGUUGUCCGGAUUCAUUGGGCGUAAAGAGCGUGUAGGCGGCCAGGUAGGUCGGUUGUGAAAACUGGAGGCUCAACCUUCAGAGGUCGACCGAAACCAUCUGGCUAGAGUCCGGGGGAGGAGAGUGGAAUUCCUGGUGUAGCGGUGAAAUGCGCAGAUAUCAGGAAGAACACCCGUGGCGAAAGCGGCUCUCUGGACCGUAACUGACGCUGAGACACGAAAGCGUGGGGGAGCAAACAGG